rnacentral:rRNA from 1 species
UACGGAGGAUGCGAGCGUUAUCCGGAUUUAUUGGGUUUAAAGGGUGCGUAGGCGGGAUGCCAAGUCAGCGGUAAAAAUGCGGUGCUCAACGCCGUCGAGCCGUUGAAACUGGCGUUCUUGAGUGGGCGAGAAGUAUGCGGAAUGCGUGGUGUAGCGGUGAAAUGCAUAGAUAUCACGCAGAACUCCGAUUGCGAAGGCAGCAUACCGGCGCCCUACUGACGCUGAAGCACGAAGGCGUGGGUAUCGAACAGG